rnacentral:lncRNA from 1 species
ACCAUAAUUUAAAUAGCAACUUUUUCAUAUCAAAAAAAUGUCAACUGAGUGAUAAAAAUUGUGUGACAAACCUCCAUUCUAUUAUUGUUUCUUUUUGGCAUUAAGAAGCACAGUAAACUAAAUGAAACUAAAUUAAUUAAAUUGAAUGUAAAGCAUCAUUUUAAAUUUGCGAGCAAUUUCAGCUUUCACAUCCUGAUGCUUAACACAUCUGAUUUGAAAGUUCUUUUAAGAAAUGGAUAACUAAUAAAUUAAAUUUACAGUGA